CUCUGGGGUCCUAACUCAGCCCAUAGGGAUCAGAAAAGGCUUCCUGGAGGAGAAGACACUAAGCCAAGCUGGGUUAAAGCCAAGCCCCCUGUACAUGUCUGGGCAUCCCAGAGGCUCUCACAGACCGCUCCAGUGGCUUGGACAACUGAUUGCCAUCUUUGGCUAAAAACAAUGCUGGUCUCCACAGAGCACAGUAAGAGGAUCUGGUCUGGCUCUGCUUCCUCAAUGGAAGAAGCUUCAGUGGCUCCUCAUUCUCUGAUGAAGCAACUCAAAUACCUCAGCCCGACUCUCAAGACCUUCCACAGCCUGGUCUCACCUGGCUCUUCAGCCUCAUUCUCAGAUUCCAUGUGAUGAGCUUUGUCAAACUGACUGGUUCCAGGUCCCCAGGGCACAGUGGCUGUGCCCUCUUCUCUGCCUGGGAGACCCUCUUCCCAUUUCCCAUAGUUAUUCUUCUAGGCAUUCUCCAGGAAGUCGUUCCUGAACCCUUCCUCUUUGCACCAACUCCUCUGGCUAGAAAUAACCUCUUGGCCUCUCUGUCUCCGUCCUGCCACCCUCAAGUUCAGGGUCAUGUGACCUGUCCAAGGGUUUUAAACUUCCAUUGCACUAUGAGCUUUAGGAUAAUGGCCACUUUUCAUCAUACUCCCUUCCCUCCGCCCACACACACCCCUGAAGGCCCACAUCAGUGCCCAGUUCACAAUAUGUGCAUAGUAUGUGUUGGCCAUCUUCACACCGAAAGCCAGAGGCCAGGGAGCAAGUAGGAGUCAGGAGUCCACCCAGGAUGCCAGGACACUCCUGAGGCUGAGUUCUGCCUUAUCUCCACCUCGGCUAUGUUUCUUAAUAGGUCCCCAUGCUUCCAGCUGCUUCUUGGGAAAUCAGCCCCUCUAGGAGGUCUGGGAGCCACAUUCCUGAGGCCAGAACAUGAAAAAUCUGGCCAUGUACCCACUAGAUACAGAUGUCCACCCAGCCUCCCGUCGGGUGCCUGAAGUGUCAGCUGAGGUUUGCAUCAUCACAGCAUCUCUAAUUCCUUGCAGUCAGAAGAGAGCUGGAGAGUAUCAUACAGAGGCUGGGAGCAGUGAGAGGCAACAGGAGAAAAGCUGUGUGUGUGUCCCUGGUCCCAGGUGCCAGAAGGUGCUGCAGCAUCACCAUCAAUUAACAUCGCCAUUGCAGAGAGCAUCUGAGUCCCCACUUAUGUGCUGGCACUGUGCCUAGCAACUUGCCUAUAUUUUCAAUUUUAAAUCUCCUACUUCCCUGUAAGGCAGACAUUAUAGAUCCACCUUGAUUUUACAGGGGAGGAAACUGAAGUUAAAUCACUCAUCCAAGGUCACACUGCUAGUAGGUGCAGGGGCCCAGGAUUCAACCCCAGGCAUGCCUGACUCCAAGGCCUGUGUUUGUUCUAUCAUUAAUCCUACACACAUUGGGCUUCACACAGGUUUAUUCUGGAGAUACUGACAUAUUCUGUUCAUGUCUGGGGGGUAGUUACACAAGUAUGUGUAAACUUAUGAUCUGUGCACUUUUCUGUGUUUAUGUUAUAACAUCAAUAAAGUUUCCUUUUUUUAA
rnacentral:lncRNA from 1 species